AUGAGGGUUGUAGAGCUGAAGUCUGAGCUGAAGCAACGUGGUCUGACAGUCUCCGGCUCCAAAAAUGAACUGGUUGAAAGACUGAGGAGCUACCAGGACCUGAAAAAGGGCUGCGGCAAUACCUCCUCACUGACAGCAGGGGGUACCACAGGGUCAGGGGCCGAACGAGGAGCUUCAACCACGGACAGAAGCCCACCAGAAGCACCACAUCAGACCCUGCACCAUCAGGCAUCUCUCAACCUUCGGUCAGCAGCCACUCAGCCGCUCGCACUCCUCAACUGUGACAUCUCACCUCAGGUCAGCUCCCUCUCCACCUCGCCGGGCGCUAGAAACCCUGAAGCCACCAGUGCUGCCAUUCUGGAGGACGUGGACCAUCAGCUGUGUGCAGCCAAUCAGCCCCGGAUUUAUACUAAAGAAGAGCUGAGGCCCUGUCACUUCUCGCUGAGGAAGAGGAAACAUUGCCAGGCCUCCUGGCUGUGCCCCUCCUCCUCCUCCUCCUCCUCCUCCUCCUCCUCCUCCUCCUCCUCCUCCACAGCUCCAGGAGUGAUUGAGGAUAAAGACAAGAUGCUGCAGGAGAAAGACCAGCAGAUCGAGAAGCUGACCAGAAAGCUGAUGCAGAAAGAGCAGCUGGUGGAAAUGCUCAGGCUGCAACUGGAGAUUAGGACACACGGAGGGGCGAGAGUGCACGUAAAAGUGAAACAGGAGCCUCCUGACAGUUGCAGCGGCCCACCUUCACUUAUCCAGCUGCCUUCACCUGCGUUUCCGCCAACAGCUGAGACGGUUGCCAUCAAUCAGGACGCGAUCAAGGAAGAGGAAGUUGUAUCCCGGACAUCUCCAGGAUUACUGCCUUGCGCACAGAUGGAGCAUACAUGUCAGGUCUCUCAGCAGCAAAUGAUUCAGCAAAGACUGCGACCGCAAGGGUGUGAGGCCCAGAAGGAGGAGUGGGGGCCUCAGCCCAGGGGCCCGAUGCUGGGAAAUCUGCAUAGCCAUUCCGCGCAGAGAAGGAAAGGUUCCGACACACUGGAGGUGAAGCAGGAAGUUCCCCGACUGGAUCGUGAUGUGACUGAACAACAGCAGAGGCCGGCACAUCUGGGGCAGCAGCAGCAGAGACUGGAUACAUCCCAGCAGACACCACAGGUGUAUCAAAUAUGUCUCUACCCACUGGAAGUUUUGAAAAACAAACCCACCCCAACCCUGGUUACCAGCGGCAACGACUCCUUGAUUGGACCGAGCGGUCGCCAUAGCACCGACAUCAUGCUGGAGGACGAUGCAACCGCUCAGAUCAUGCUGCAGAGGCUACAGUCCUCAGCCGGGCGCCAUGGCAACAACCUGGCUGAGCGGAGGCAGAAGGCUGCGGAGCAUGAAGGUGAUUCUGUCGAGGUCGUUUUGCAGAGCGGAGAAUGGCCUACCUCCAAACCCGCAACAGACCCUCUAGAUUAUUUAAACCCAACCUCCUCACGCGCUGCCCCUCCCCCCUCGCCGCUCCAGCACGCCCCUUCACCUCUGACCCCCCCCUGCCUGUGCCUGACCUCAACGACAUCUGAGCGACAGACUGGGGUUGACACCAAAGAAGAGGGGCGGUGUCCCGGUGGCUGCUUGGAGGACUUCCUCGAAAGCACCGCUGGGGAGACUCUUCUCGGGGCGGAGCCUGACGGGUUGUUGAGCUUGAUCGAUGACCUGCACAGUCAGAUGUGUGCCCCUCCGUCCUCCAGGGAUGCCUCCAGCACGGAAUCAGAGGAGGAACAUGAGCUGGACCUCACCGUGGAGGGAGUGAGGUGUAACGAGAACUCUACACUGGGUCCACUGGUUCCUCCGCCCCCUUCUAGUGUGUUUUCCACAGACUUUCUGGACAACUUUGACCUGCAGACCUUGAUGGUCUGAAACCCUCCAUGACUGCUCCGCUGCAUGAUCAGAGCGCGCCACCUGUGUCUUCUCACACCCUGAAAUAUUCAACCCUUGAGCACUUUUAUAUAUUUUAUUUACAUGCCAUUAUAUCGAUUUUCUGUGGGGAAACCUGUUAGGCGGGUCCUACGUCUGCCCCUGCUCCUUCAGAAAACCUCCAUGAGAAAACACCAGGGUCCUUCGGGGGCCGGGCUCAACGAAACACUUUUAUCGGCUCAUUAUAGGUACAUUGAUCUUAUCUUUGCGAUGGAAACCACGACAGAGGCGAGAAAAGUAUCGACUUGUUUGACCCUGUCCUAAUUGCGGUGUAAAUCCUCGGACGCCUUGUGUUGCAAACAUAAUCAAUAUUUUAUUACUGCAGAAGGUCAAAGAUAGCCACAUUUUAAGCAUAAACGCAAAGUUAACGUCUUUGACAUGGUUUACACAGUGCACAGAAAGGUUCCGAAUGUUCUAGAUGUGGUGGCAUUAAUACUAGCAUGAUAGCUAAUGCUAAACUAGCCCGUUCCAUCCCGCGACUGUUUUUUAAAAAAACGUAUUUAUAAAGUUGGAAAGAAAUGAUUGAUUGACAUAAGCAUGUCAAACUGAAGAGAAAUCAGUGGUCAUAACUCUUUCAGAUGAACGGUUAUUACAUCUUACAUCAUAUUACAUCUUAUUAGGUUGCAGACCAAAGAAUCGAUACACAAGUUAGCGAACAACAAAGUGUUGCUCAGUGGAAACUAUGGCAGAUGCAUUUUAAAGUUAAUAGAAUAAACACGGGAUGAUAAAUUACAGUUUAAAAGCUGUCUUAGGAAAACUGUCACGAUGAAGACUGCUUCUAAACCUGCUCUUGUUGCUCUAAAGAAUAAAUUCACAUGUUAUUUUUGUUGACAAGAAAUUAAAGCAAGUUUGCUCACACCCAA
ensembl:lncRNA